rnacentral:piRNA from 1 species
GUACAGAGCGCGCUGGCCGGUUA